CACGUAGGGCGCAAGCGUUGUCCGGAAUUACUGGGCGUAAAGGGCUCGUAGGUGGCCAACUCAGUCAGACGUGAAAUCCCUCGGCUUAACCGAGGAACUGCGUCUGAUACUGGAUGGCUUGAGGUUGGGAGAGGGAUGCGGAAUUCCAGGUGUAGCGGUGAAAUGCGUAGAUAUCUGGAGGAACACCGGUGGCGAAGGCGGCAUCCUGGACCAAUUCUGACACUGAGGAG
rnacentral:rRNA from 1 species